rnacentral:ncRNA from 2 species
AUCUAUCUUCGGGGCAGGGUGAAAUUCCCGAUCGGCGGUGAUGAGAUUUAAAUUCUCUAAGCCCGCGAGCCUUUUUGGGGCAGGAUUUGGUGAAAUUCCAAAGCCGACAGUAUAGUCUGGAUGGGAGAAGAUGGAG